GGAAGAAAGGGGGGGUGGUCACUGGGAGCAACUGCACAUGCUACCUCUGCGAAUGGAAAAGAAAUGACCCCGGUGUGGUGUGCUCUGAGCUAGAGAUGUGUAGUGGAGACAUCAGGGGCUCCUGGUGGGGUUGCAGUUGGAAGUCCUUACCCCAGGACUGCACCCCGUUCCCCAGGAACCCUGAACCCACGAGCUGACAGGGCCACAAGAGGCGGCUCAACAGAGUCUAAGGGUUCCCCAAGGGUGCCCCGGGAAGGGGUGACCCUGUGUGUUUAGGGAAUCUCUUUGAGAAUGUCAGGACUACCCCUUCUUUGCACAAACUCUCUUGCUCACUCGCACUCUCCCCCCCUCCUGCCGCCAGGAGUAAAACAGUGCCCCCAUUGCUCUACUAGGGGGUGGGGGGAAGAGGCCGCAGAAAGGAGGACCCGCACGAGGGUGGGGGGGCUACAUUAGCUCUGGCCCAGACUAUGGCGGCCUGGGCGGUGGGAGUGGGUGUCGCCUGUAGUAUUAAGAGCUGACAAGUAGCAAACAGCCCCAGCCCAUUCCCUGUGAGAGGUUCCUGUAAAGCAGGGCGGUGGCUCCCUGGCCAAGGCCCCGCUGGGUCCCCGGUCCAAGUCUACAGCCUUGAGAUGGCCAAGGAUCACAAUUGUUAUUGUGUAAGGCACGAGGACAUAAUAGGUUUCUGAAAGGGCUGCAGCCAGCUUUUUGUUAGCGGAGCGACCUGAGCCAAAAGCGUCCCUUUGUCAGGUGUAUGGGGAACAGGAGAUACAGCAACAGCCGUCUUUUGAGACGUGAUUUCAGGGCCCAAGAUGGGCGGGCUGGAAGGGUCGUGGCCAGGUCUCUUUCCCCAAGGGGCUCUGCUCUGCCCUGUCACCCUGGGCUCUGCUCAGCCAGCUGCAGUGGGCACACAGCCCGCUAGGCUCCAGCCUUCUCCUUACAAGACAAAAGCCACAGAGCUGGAGCCAGCCUCCGAGAUGGGAAACCAACAUAAUCCUUGGACGAGACCCUGGCCCCUCCAGCUGGACUCCCCGCACAUGUUCCCAUCUUGCAACACACAGCAGGCAUUUAGCCAGAGUCACUGUCCCCCAACUUCUCCGAAAGCACCUCUUCCCAUGGACAGAAAAGAAGGGCAGAGUGCAUAUCCUUGGGAAUUCUCUCCAUUCGCGUGUGUUGCCGCAACUUUGGAGCUCAGAUCCCCAGCGGGGCGCUUCACAUGCAAUUCGUUAAAUACAAGGAUCGGAUCAACUCGAACAAACAUAGCAGCAAUACACAGCUGA
rnacentral:lncRNA from 1 species